AUCCUUUUGUAGUUCAUGAGUAUGAUUGGGUGUUCACAUGCUUGUGUGAAAUGUGCCACCCUUGAACCUUGUUACGUUGGCACAUUACCCAUCUGACG
ensembl:snoRNA